CCUACGGGUGGCAGCAGUGGGGAAUAUUGCGCAAUGGGCGAAAGCCUGACGCAGCGACGCCGCGUGAGGGAUGAAGGUCUUCGGAUCGUAAACCUCUGUCAGCAGGGAAGAACGGUCACUGUGCUAAUCAGCAGUGAAUUGACGGUACCUGCAAAGGAAGCACCGGCUAACUCCGUGCCAGCAGCCGCGGGAAUACGUAGGGUGCGAGCGUUAAUCGGAAUUACUGGGCGUAAGGCGCUCGUAGGCGGUAUGUCAAGUCAAGGGUGAAAUCCCCGCGCUCAACGUGGGAACUGCCUUUGAAACUGGCGAGCUGGAGGGUGUGAGAGGAUCGUGGAAUUCCAGGUGUAGGAGUGAAAUCCGUAGAUAUCUGGAGGAACAUCAGUGGCGAAGGCGACUAUCUGGCACAUCACUGACGCUGAGGAGCGAAAGCGUGGGUAGCAAACAGGAUUAGAUACCCGAGUAGUC
rnacentral:rRNA from 1 species